rnacentral:rRNA from 1 species
UACGUAGGGCGCAAGCGUUUGUCCGGAAUUAUUGGGCGUAAAGAGCUCGUAGGCGGCUUGUCGCGUCGGAUGUGAAAGCCCGGGGCUUAACCCCGGGUCUGCAUUCGAUACGGGCAGGCUAGAGUUCGGUAGGGGAGAUCGGAAUUCCUGGUGUGAGCGGUGAAAUGCGCAGAUAUCAGGAGGAACACCGGUGGCGAAGGCGGAUCUCUGGGCCGAUACUGACGCUGAGGAGCGAAAGCGUGGGGAGCGAACAGG